UUUUCCUUACAAUGUAUCUGUUAAAAGAAACUGGCAUAUUGGACCUCGAGAGUUUCCAGUGGUUUCGGCUUUGCUGAUGGCACACUUCAGAUGCAGUUGACCAUGUUCCUCUCUUCUCUGCAUUUCCUGCAGAUUGCCAGCUGGAUUCAGAUGACUGAUUGAUGAGCCAGGAAAUGUGAAGAAUUCACCUGGAAAUAAAUAGAAUGCUCCAUGCUCUGCCCAUUUUAAUCAGUUAUAGGUAAACAUUGGAAACUCCAUGCAGUAAACCAGUAUUUCUACAGAAAAAUGGCAGAGAAGUCAGUACUGAAUAUAGUAAAUUGGCUUUCUUCUUCAGGACAAACUAUACUAGGCUUCUUUGUUAUCUUGGGUGAUGCCAUACUGCAAGUGGACUAAUCGGAAAUCCUUUCACCUAGAGAUAAUGUCUAGCCUUAGAACUCCUCGUUCUCAAGUUGCUAUUUAUGUACAUAAUUAAAAUUCCAAAUUAAA